AAAGUCGUAACAAGGUUUCCGUAGGUGAACCUGCGGAAGGAUCAUUAUCGUGGGGAUUCGUCCCCUCUAGAUAGACACCCUUUGUUUAUGAGUACCAAUUGUUUCCUCGGCGGGCUUGCUCGCCGUUGGACUGCCAAAAACCUUUGUAGUAGUAGUAUCUUCAGUAAAAAAACAAAUAUUAAAACUUUCAACAACGGAUCUCUUGGUUCUG
rnacentral:misc_RNA from 1 species